ACUUGUAUUUAGUCGAGUGGUAAGGACACUUGCCUCUCAAUUUGGAGUCCCGGGGUUCGAUCACCCGUCGAGUA